GGGUUGUGAGGUUAAGCGACUAAGCGUACACGGUGGAUGCCCUGGCAGUCAGAGGCGAUGAAGGACGUGCUAAUCUGCGAAAAGCGUCGGUAAGGUGAUAUGAACCGUUAUAACCGGCGAUGUCCGAAUGGGGAAACCCAGUGUGAUUCGUCACACUAUCGUUAACUGAAUACAUAGGUUAACGAGGCGAACCGGGGGAACUGAAACAUCUAAGUACCCCGAGGAAAAGAAAUCAACCGAGAUUCCCCCAGUAGCGGCGAGCGAACGGGGAGCAGCCCAGAGUCUGAAUCAGCUUGUGUGUUAGUGGAACGGUCUGGAAAGUCCGACGGUACAGGGUGAUAGUCCCGUACACCAAAAUGCACAGGCUGUGAACUCGAAGAGUAGGGCGGGACACGUGGUAUCCUGUCUGAAUAUGGGGGGACCAUCCUCCAAGGCUAAAUACUCCUGACUGACCGAUAGUGAACCAGUACCGUGAGGGAAAGGCGAAAAGAACCCCGGCGAGGGGAGUGAAAAGAACCUGAAACCGUGUACGUACAAGCAGUGGGAGCACCUUCGGGUGUGACUGCGUACCUUUUGUAUAAUGGGUCAGCGACUUAUAUUCUGUAGCAAGGUUAACCGUAUAGGGGAGCCGCAGGGAAACCGAGUCUUAACUGGGCGUUAAGUUGCAGGGUAUAGACCCGAAACCCGGUGAUUCAGCCAUGGGCAGGUUGAAGGUUGGGUAACACUAACUGGAGGACCGAACCGACUAAUGUUGAAAAAUUAGCGGAUGACUUGUGGCUGGGGGUGAAAGGCCAAUCAAACCGGGAGAUAGCUGGUUCUCCCCGAAAGCUAUUUAGGUAGCGCCUCGUGAACUCAUCUUCGGGGGUAGAGCACUGUUUCGGCUAGGGGUCAUCCCGACUUACCAACCCGAUGCAAACUACGAAUACCGAAGAAUGUUAUCACGGGAGACACACGGCGGGUGCUAACGUCCGUCGUGAAGAGGGAAACAACCCAGACCGCCAGCUAAGGUCCCAAAGUCAUGGUUAAGUGGGAAACGAUGUGGGAAGGCACAGACAGCCGGAUGUUGGCUUAGAAGCAGCCAUCAUUUAAAGAAAGCGUAAUAGCUCACUGGUCGAGUCGGCCUGCGCGGAAGAUGUAACGGGGCUAAACCAUGCACCGAAGCUGCGGCAGCGACACUAUGUGUUGUUGGGUAGGGGAGCGUUCUGUAAGCCUGCGAAGGUGACCUGUGAGGGUUGCUGGAGGUAUCAGAAGUGCGAAUGCUGACAUAAGUAACGAUAAAGCGGGUGAAAAGCCCGCUCGCCGGAAGACCAAGGGUUCCUGUCCAACGUUAAUCGGGGCAGGGUGAGUCGACCCUAAGGCGAGGCCGAAAGGCGUAGUCGAUGGGAAACAGGUUAAUAUUCCUGUACUUGGUGUUACUGCGAAGGGGGGACGGAGAAGGCUAUGUUAGCCGGGCGACGGUUGUCCCGGUUUAAGCAUGUAGGCUGGUUAUCCGCAAAUCCGGAUAAUCAAGGCUGAGGUGUGAUGACGAGGCACUACGGUGCUGAAGUAACAAAUGCCCUGCUUCCGUGAAAAGCCUCUAAGCAUCAGGUAACAUCAAAUCGUACCCCAAACCGACACAGGUGGUCAGGUAGAGAAUACCAAGGCGCUUGAGAGAACUCGGGUGAAGGAACUAGGCAAAAUGGUGCCGUAACUUCGGGAGAAGGCACGCUGGUGUGUAGGUGAAGCCCCUGCGGGUGGAGCUGAGACCAGUCGAAGAUACCAGCUGGCUGCAACUGUUUAUUAAAAACACAGCACUGUGCAAACACGAAAGUGGACGUAUACGGUGUGACGCCUGCCCGGUGCCGGAAGGUUAAUUGAUGGGGUUAUCCGUAAGGAGAAGCUCUUGAUCGAAGCCCCGUAAACGGCGGCCGUAACUAUAACGGUCCUAAGGUAGCGAAAUUCCUUGUCGGGUAAGUUCCGACCUGCACGAAUGGCGUAAUGAUGGCGGGCUGUCUCCACCCGAGACUCAGUGAAAUUGAACUCGCUGUGAAGAUGCAGUGUACCCGCGGCAAGACGGAAAGACCCCGUGAACCUUUACUAUAGCUUGACACUGAACAUUGAGCCUUGAUGUGUAGGAUAGGUGGGAGGCUUUGAAGCGUGGACGCCAGUCUGCGUGGAGCCAACCUUGAAAUACCACCCUUUAAUGUUUGAUGUUCUAACGUUGGCCCCUUACCGGGGUUGCGGACAGUGUCUGGUGGGUAGUUUGACUGGGGCGGUCUCCUCCCAAAGCGUAACGGAGGAGCACGAAGGUUAGCUAAUCUGGUCGGACAUCAGGAGGUUAGUGCAAUGGCAUAAGCUAGCUUGACUGCGAGCGUGACGGCGCGAGCAGGUGCGAAAGCAGGUCAUAGUGAUCCGGUGGUUCUGAAUGGAAGGGCCAUCGCUCAACGGAUAAAAGGUACUCCGGGAUAACAGGCUGAUACCGCCCAAGAGUUCAUAUCGACGGCGGUGUUUGGCACCUCGAUGUCGGCUCAUCACAUCCCUGAAGUAGGUCCCAAGGGUAUGGCUGUUCGCCAUUUAAAGUGGUACGCGAGCUGGGUUUAGAACGUCGUGAGACAGUUCGGUCCCUAUCUGCCGUGGGCGCUGGAGAAUUGAGGGGGGCUGCUCCUAGUACGAGAGGACCGGAGUGGACGCAUCACUGGUGUUCGGGUUGUCAUGCCAAUGGCACUGCCCGGUAGCUAAAUGCGGAAGAGAUAAGUGCUGAAAGCAUCUAAGCACGAAACUUGCCCCGAGAUGAGUUCUCCCUGAGACUUUAAGUCUCCUGAAGGAACGUUGAAGACGACGACGUUGAUAGGCCGGGUGUGUAAGCGCAGCGAUGCGUUGAGCUAACCGGUACUAAUGAACCGUGAGGCUUAACCUUACAACGCCGAAG
rnacentral:rRNA from 1 species